rnacentral:rRNA from 1 species
UAAAGGUUUGGUCCUGACUUUACUAUCAACUUUAACCCGAUUUAUACAUGCAAGUCUCCGCAGCCCCGUGAGAAUGCCCUCAAUCCCCUGCCCGGGGACGAGGAGCGGGCAUCAGGCACACCUUUGUUUACGCCCAAGACGCCUUGCUACGCCACUCCCCCAAGGGAAUUCAGCAGUAAUAGACAUUAAACCAUAAGUGUAAACUUGACUUAGUCAGGGUUAAUAGGGCCGGUAAAAUUCGUGCCAGCCACCGCGGUUAUACGAAAGACCCGAGUUGCUAGCCACGGCGUAAAGGGUGGUUAGGGAUCAAAAUAAAUAAAGCCAAAGACCCCCUAAGCCGUCAUACGCACUACGGAGGCACGAGGCCCCUACACGAAAGUAGCUUUAAAGCACUCCUGACCCCACGAAAGCUAAGAAACAAACUGGGAUUAGAUACCCCACUAUGCUUAGCCCUAAACCCAGAUGUACCACUACACACACAUUCGCCCGGGUACUACGAGCACAGCUUAAAACCCAAAGGACUUGGCGGUGUCUCAGACCCACCUAGAGGAGCCUGUUCUAAAACCGAUACCCCCCGUUAAACCUCACCACUCCUUGUUUCCCCCGCUUAUAUACCGCCGUCGUCAGCUUACCCUAUGAAGGACUAACAGUAAGCAAAAUGGGCCUACCCAAAAACGUCAGGUCGAGGUGUAGCGUAUGGAGUGGGAAGAAAUGGGCUACAUUUUCUACAUCUAGAACAUAAACGAAUGGCGCCAUGAAAAUGCUGCCUGAAGGUGGAUUUAGUAGUAAAAAGCAAAUAGAGAGUCCUUUUGAAUUAGGCUCUGAGACGCGCACACACCGCCCGUCACUCUCCCUCGCACACUUAUACAAUAUUCCUAAUACAUCAAAUAUCAGCACGGGGAGGCAAGUCGUAACAUGGUAAGUGUACCGGAAGGUGUACUUGGAAUAAU